rnacentral:rRNA from 1 species
CCUACGGGAGGCAGCAGUGAGGAAUAUUGGUCAAUGGACGAGAGUCUGAACCAGCCAAGUAGCGUGAAGGAUGACUGCCCUAUGGGUUGUAAACUUCUUUUAUAAAGGAAUAAAACGAGGCACGUGUGCCUUUUUGCAUGUACUUUAUGAAUAAGGAUCGGCUAACUCCGUGCCAGCAGCCGCGGUAAUACGGAGGAUCCGAGCGUUAUCCGGAUUUAUUUGGUUUAAAGGGAGCGUAGAUGGGUUGUUAAGUCAGUUGUGAAAGUUUGCGGCUCAACCGUAAAAUUGCAAUUGAUACUGGCAGUCUUGAGUACAGUUGAGGUAGGCGGAAUUCGUGGUGUAGCGGUGAAAUGCUUAGAUAUCACGAAGAACUCCGAUUGCGAAGGCAGCUUACUAAACUGCCACUGACAUUGAUGCUCGAAAGUGUGGGUAUCAAACAGGAUUAGAUACCCCAGUAGUC